rnacentral:rRNA from 1 species
CACGUAGGGGCCAAGCGUUGUCCGGAUUUAUUGGGCGUAAAGAGCUCGUAGGCGGUUCGGUAAGUCGGAUGUGAAAUCUCCAGGCUCAACCUGGAGGGGUCAUUCGAUACUGCCGUGACUAGAGUUCGGUAGGGGAGUGUGGAAUUCCUGGUGGAGCGGUGAAAUGCGCAGAUAUCAGGAGGAACACCCGUAGCGAAGGCGGCACUCUGGGCCGAUACUGACACUGAGGAGCGAAAGCGUGGGGAGCGAACAGG